AAAAAAAAAAAAAAAAAAGUUAGUAUAAGAUGAUUGUCCCAACUUUUGAAAAAUCAAAUCCUACAUUGACCUUGGUUGAAAAAAUGGGUCCAUGAUUAAGUGUCUGUAGAACUUGGCUAUGUGAGUAUCUAGAGUUAUUGACUUCUUUGGGAGGAUUUCUUAGAUGGCUGUAAGAUAUGAACUAGUGGUUAUAAUUCUAAUUGCUUGCAUACCUUCUUAAAGAUUUAUUACUCCCUCUAUAAACUAGAAUAAGAGAAGGUUGUGUUACUUUGUAAUUCUUCGGUGAAAUUGUUGCAGUUUGAAUUUAUGACUGCCAAGA
rnacentral:misc_RNA from 1 species